rnacentral:rRNA from 1 species
AUGUGGCAUGGAGAGAGAAGCACAAACACAUGUAACAUCACAGUUCCAAAGUUUGGUCUCUGCUGCAAGGAAGGGAAAAUUAAAUUACCACCACUGAAGCAAGCUCCGUUGUAUCUCCGACAGCUACUACGUUACAAUGAAAGAGGAGAGUCAUCCAAUUUUCGCCAGAACAUCAGGUUGUACAACUCCAUGUUCGCGUUCACUUCAAUGGGAGGAAAGGUUGACUAUGAAAUUAAUAAGCAGACACCUGGACCAUAUGUUUUCCGUUUGAAUGGCCAAAACUACCAUCAGAUUGGCACUUUACUUCCUAAAGAUGACGUGACAAAACCAAAAUUUGCCCAAUUGUACAUACAUGACACAGAAAAUGAAGUGCGUAACAGGAUUACUGCAUCAACUUCAAUGGAGAUUAAGACAAAGCCAGAUGAAAACAUUGUCAAAGGUCUACUAGAGAUGCUAGAUGAGCACAAUGUUUUGGUCAAAUCGUUUCGUAUGGCAAGGGACAGGCUCGAAAACUGA